rnacentral:misc_RNA from 1 species
AGCAGCCGCGGUAAUUCCAGCUCCAAUAGCGUAUAUUAAAGUUGUUGCAGUUAAAAAGCUCGUAGUUGAAUUUCGGGGUUAGUAGGUUGGUCAUGCCUCUGGUAUGUACUGGUCUCACUGAUUCCUCCUUCCUGAUGAACCUUAAUGCCAUUAAUUUGGUGUUUUGGGGAAUUUGGACUGUUACUUUGAAAAAUUAGAGUGUUUAAAGCAAGCUAACGCUUGAAUACAUUAGCAUGGAAUAAUGAAAUAGGACGUUCGAUCCUAUUUUGUUGGUUUCUAGGAUUGACGUAAUGAUUAAUAGGGAUAGUUGGGGGCAUUAGUAUUCAAUUGUCAGAGGUGAAAUUCUUGGAUUUAUUGAAGACUAACUACUGCGAAAGCAUUUGCCAAGGAUGUUUUCAUUAAUCAAGAACGAAAGUUAGGGGGUCGAAGACGAUCAGAUACCGUCGUAGUCUUAACCAUAAACUAUGCCGACUAGGGAUCGGAUGAUGUUAAUUUUUUAAUGUACUCAUUCGGCGCCUUA